CCCAGUGAUCUCAUUGCCUCCUCUUCUCUGUCUUCUCUUUCAUCUGUCUCAAAUCUGCUUCUGCUUUUCUCUUCUAAGGACAUUUGUCAUGGGACCUAGGACUCACACGGCUAAUCCAAAUGAUCUCAUCUCAAGAUCCUUAAUAUAAUUAUAUCAGCAAAGCUACAAAGACCUUUUUUCCAGUAAGGCCACAUUGACAGGUUUUGGGGGUUAGGACAGGGACAUCUCCUUUUUAAGGCCACCAUCUAACUCACUACAGAUGCUGUUGUUCUCCCUUUUCCCUAAUAGCUGGUCAGUUUUCAAAUCUUGAAGAUUCUGUCCCUUCUCGAGUCCUGCUUCCACCAUUCUGAUCUCUUUCUGCCGUAGGAAUCUCUUAAAAAUUUCUGACGGUUUCCUACUCUUUUAAAAGUUCAGAACACACUUGUGAGCUUGACAUUUAGGGCUCUCUGCAGAAUGUUGCCAGCGUAUUUUCCAUUUCCUUCUCCCUCUUCUUUGCUACACAUACCUUGCCCUCUAGCCACACUGUGCUAUUUGCCAUUGCCCUCACUGCUCCUCCCUUCUCUCUGAACCCUCUCACACUGUUCCUUCCUCCUGGAAGACUGGUUGUUCCUCCAUCCUUAUCACUAUGAUCCUGCCCCUGUAUCACCUAACACCCAGGUAUCUUUCAAAGCCCAUCUGAGGUUCCACCUCCCCAUGAGAGCUUUGCUGCUCCUCCCUGCUAGGGAUGAAUCUCUGAGCCUUUGGCACCUCACACAGUGUUUAUUUUGUCCUACCUUGUGUCAUAAUGGCUCUAGAUGCUCCAUGUCUUCAGGUCGAGGGCUGUGAGAGACAGCAUUGCACAGUGGCUAAGAACAAGGGCUCUGAAUCAGACUGCCCAGUACAGCUCUGGUCACUAACCAGCCACGUAUCCUUGGACAAGUUAUUCAACCUCUUCUCACUAUAGUUUUCCGUCCGCAAUGGAGAUUAUGGUAACAAUUCCUUCCUGGUAUUGUGAGGCUAAAAUGAAAUAAUGUAUGUAGAAUACCUGGAAUUCUAAGCAUGAAAUAUUAUCUGUUAUUAUUGUCUUGUCUCUAUUUCCCAACAGCUAACACAAGAACUUCUAUAGUAGGUAUUAAAUAAAUACUUAUAGAAUUUAAAUCGCUAAAUUCAAACCUGGCACCAGAAGGAGGCAGCCUGUGCUUUUCUGUUCAGACUCCAUCUUUAUCAACUCUAGUAGGUACAACCUGCCUUCAGCAAGACAUAAAUAAAUGAACUUUCUCUCUUUUGCUGGCAGUAUCAUUAGAGAUCCUGUUGUUAUAUUCUUUUUGAUACUAGUUCUUUUCAUUACAUGGGUAAUUGGUGGUUAAAUAAGGUAUUCAUCUUUUAGUGAUUACUGCCAUAUAGACUAGCUUGUUGCCAAAUACUAAACCACUAGAAGUAACCAUAGGGACUUUCAAUUUUUGUGACAUCCAUUGAUAGAAGCAAGUGCCUGGGAAAAUAAAGGAACUAUUUUUUUUGUACCCAUUAACCAUCUCCAUCUCCCCGCCACCCCAAACCUCCCACUACUCUUUCCAGCCCCUGGUAACCAUCCUUCUGCUCUGUAAGAUGCAACUAUCUUAUUCUUAAUGCUGAUAAUGAAAGAAAACCAAUUUAAUCAGAGGAAUACACAAGAUGAGUAGAUGGAGACUUGCAAUAUUCUACAGGGGACUUCUCAAGUUUUUCAAUGACUUUAAAGGUGCAACGACCUGAAUCUAUAUUAAAUCCCAUUUCACUUCAUUUCUUACAAUAUAGUCUUACAGUUACUUGUCAUGCUUUUUAAUUUAUAGUAAAGAAAGCUGAUUUUCUUCAGUUACCUAGGAAAGAGUGUCAGAUUAUGGAGUCAGAUUAUGGAGGGCAAACCUUCAUGAAGGCACUUGUGCCCUGAGUGACAGGUUGUCUGUGGUGGCUUUGAAUGAGUUGUGAUUGGUGAAAAUGGAAAAUUCUCCUUGAGCAUGGUGUUUUAGGGAGAGAAAUGGUGAUGCAGGCUAGAGAGGUGAGGUGUCGUGGAUUAUGGGACAGCAGUGUGACUAGAGAAUCAGGAAUGGGGUGGACAGGUAGAGGUAGAGAUGGUAUUGUGCAGGCGGCUGUCAAGCCUUGGUUUUGUAAGCGACUCUGUAGCUUGACUGCACCUUGGGCAUUGUCUAUGAGUACAUACUUCUGAGUACAGAUACACUAUAAAUUUUUUCUAUUUUCUUGGUUCAUGUAUUCUUUUCAUUUAAAAAGUUCUUUUAAAAUUGGAAAAUGUGCCAGAUUUGAGCUGACAUAGAUAUAUAAAGUGCAACACAAGUUAUUU